rnacentral:rRNA from 1 species
UACGGAGGGUGCAAGCGUUAUCCGGAUUCACUGGGUUUAAAGGGUGCGUAGGAGGGCAGGUAAGUCAGUGGUGAAAUCUCCAAGCUUAACUUGGAACUGCCGUUGAUACUAUCUGUCUUGAAUACCGUGGAGGUGAGCGGAAUAUGUCAUGUAGCGGUGAAAUGCUUAGAUAUGACAUAGAACACCAAAUUGCGAAGGCAGCUCGCUACACGAAUAUUGACUCUGAGGCACGGAAAGCGUGGGGAUC